UCUUCUAGAUGAUACAAAAUUGCGCGGCAAGUUAAUAUCUCUAUGUAAACCUAACGUGUGGGCCUUUCUUCCAUAUUUCCUGAUAACCCCCUGCAAAAAUAGACAAACACCAAAACUCAUGGAAUUCUAUGAGUUAAAACCCUAAGUCUGGGUGUUUGUUGCAUUUGGAUCCUUUUCUUUAUUUAUUUGAUGAUUAUUUUUUGGUACUUAAGGACCAUCAACAACUCCCCCAAGCUUACCUCUUGCUCGUCCCUAAGCAAGGAUGAACUCAAGAGUUUCUGCAGUGGUUUCAUGCCUUAAAAGUACACAUGCAUUCAAGCAAGAUCUCAUCUCUGAGUUAGAAUAAACUGUUAAGACUUAAAACUUACUCAUUUCACCUUUCACCAUGGGGCUUGUAUCCGUCACUUGUGUCCUGAGCAGUUAAAAGAUAGAACAGUCUAGUCAAGUGUCAUGUCUCUUGUUCUUUGAUUAACUAUAGUUCUGGAUUUUUUGCAGAUUAUCAAAUAAAACUCAGAGAUUCCUUGUAUGUCUCUUUCAAAUCUCUCUUUUGUGGUAUUUCCGGAUCCUUACCAAGGCAGUGAUGGUAUAUGCCUUCUCUCAAAGUAUAUAUUAUUUUUGGUAUGAGGCAUAGUGAUAUUGCCUUCUCUCUCACUCUACUCUAAUAAGGUUUUGAUAUCUAGAGCUCAUAGGUGGGAGACAGAUUAAUACAUACUUACAAGACAUUUAUUGCAUAGUCAAACCAUAGAUCCAGUAGAACAAGUCAAUAAGUCAAAUCAAGAUGUGCAUGUGUGGCGAGUGAAUGGUGUAUGGUGAUGAUGGUGAUAAUAAUGGUGAAAGUCUAAUUCUAAUUUUGCUCUUUUUAGGGGAUCCAUACCUUUCUUGCUCUUUGAAGCUUUUUGAGGAGAAUGAGAUGCUCUAUAUUUUCUUUUUUUUUUCCUCUCAGGUGGGUAUCUUGUACCCCUAAUUCUAUUGUCAGACACUUAUCCAUUUUUACCUCUCACCUCACUUUUUCUUUUCUUCGAGGUUCCGGGCACUUGCCCCUUUUUAUUUCCUCGUAUCCUUUUUUUUAGAGCACUCAUCUCCUGAAAUAAUAUAACAAGUGGUAGUAACCAAGAUAACUCGAGCAUUUAUUUCACAGGGAAAAACAAAAAUGUUUUUGGCUAUUCUCUCCCAGAUUAGGAGUAGAAUACUUUUAGGUGGCUCUAGAGAUGGAAGUGAGUGGAUGUAUGUGGAUGCGUACUUCCGGAGUAGAAGUAGCAUGUGCGAGUGAACGUGCAAGUGAAUCUUGAUUUUAACCACAUGACAAGCUCCUAAGGGUGUACACAGCUUGACCACACUCAAUGCUCAUAAGCAGUAAAAAGUAAAUGUGUGGCUCAAAGUUUGGCAAGCAUGUAUAUAUGGCUGUGGUAGGAAUUUAAACUCUCAUCAUACAUGAACUCAUCAUGUGUUAUUUUAAAGAUUUUUCAAAGAUAAAAUUCUCUAGAAUUAUAGCAUCUCUAGGAACAGAUAAACAGCAGCUCAACCUUCCCAUUUCCCAUAUCAUAUCCGUUAACAACUUAGACUUUAGAUGAAGUACUCUUCCCACAAGUUCAGGUUUAGAGCAGAUUUAAAUUAUAACAGUUAUGCCUAAACUUGAGAGAAAGCUCAAACUUGAAAACUAGGUACAUGGCAGAGCAACUAUUUAUCAUAUCCAUGUAAGAGUUUAUCAUUAGGGUUCAUAGCAAACUUUAUUUACUAAUUUAUUUAGCAAACUAAGCAAAGAUAUAUAUAUAUAUAAGCACAAAAUUUUUAUUUGGGUUUUCAUGAUUAUGCAUCUUUUUAUUAUUUGAGUAAAGUAUAAACACGAGUAGAAACACUUAGUUGGAUAAAUAGGGGUGCUCUCCCCCAAGCUAGAUUUUGACGUAAUUUCUUCUCAUGUAGCUAGCAGGUGACGGAGGUGUAUUUGAAUGUCGGCAGUACCCUGACAGCGAUUAGAAUGUCCUCCGCCGGCUAGUCUUCUUUGAUCCUUGAAUUCUGUGGAGCUCAAACAAAGCUUUGUGGAACUGGUUAAGUGUUAGCAUAAAUAUCUAGCCUUUAUCAUAUUGAGCUUCCUCUAAUAAAUAUUACUUUCUUUGGUAGGAUCAUAAAUUUAUUUUUAUAUUCUCAUUUUUAUAGGACAGGAAUAUUUUUUAUGCCACCACAGUGAAUGUACUUAUCGGUUUUAUGCCAUGAGCAUACUCACAGGGUGCUUACUAUUUUUAACAUUUUUAUUUUCUUUUUGAGAUGAUAUGAACCUGAUUAACUAAGCAAACUAUUUUAAAUAAUUGAAGGGAAAAGGAUAACUACCAAGUUUACCUCUUGGCAAGGCGUUCAGUGUUUUUAAGUCCUCUGAACGGGACUCUCCAUUCAGUCGUCCUGGGAUUCGCUGGAUGGCGUAGUCGGGGGUUUCGGCGGCGCCUCAUCUUCGUGUAUAACUAUCUUCUCUCUUCAUACCUGACUCGGAGCUACGGUCUCCUCAAGACAGUUUUGUUCAAGCUGUAUGUCUUCAGACCUUACCACUUCUCCUUUGUAGUCUGCCCAUCCGUCCUUGAUGAUUUGCUUCCUCUUGUUGCGGUUGUGUCGUCUUCUUCUUGUCCUGACCUGCUUAGAGUCAGUAAAAUAGUGGCGUACCUUCUUAGAGGGGAAGUGCAUGUGGACUUCUCCGGUUCCAACGUAGAUGAUUGCUUUAACGGUGCUGAGGAACGGUCUCUCAAGGAUGAUGGGCGGAUCAUACUCGUCUUCUCCCAUCUCAAUAACCUUCAACCUUUCGGAAUGUCUGAUCUGCCAUCUGGAGCUGGGUCAUCCUUUUUGGUCAGAAACGGUGACUUAAGUCGACGAUCUUGACAUCCUUAAAAUGCAGUGACCAUCUUAGCUGACUCGGUCCACAUUUGCUUAUUCCUGUUCCUCCUGUUGGUCCUCUUCCUUGGUUCUUCUCUGAGAUUUGUGUAGUCUUGUUCGUGAAGGAAAACAUCUCCUUCCUCCCUUUGAUGUAGAAACUGAUCUUGGCGGCACUAGCGUAGAUGACAACUCCUGAGGUGUUCAGGAAUGGCCUCCCUAGGAUGAUGGGUGCCCUCUCAUCAGUACCAAUCUCUAUCACCAUGAAGUCUUGAUUUUGUUGAGGACGGUUGUAGUAGUAGUUGUUGUUGUUGUAAUUUACGUCCUCAAGCAUCUCAGGGCAGUGAUUGCCUGAGUAUCUAGUAUCUCUAGUGUUUUUGUGCUCGUAGAUCCAAGCCCUUCACUUGGUGGAGUCUGAGAGUUGUAGAACUCCUUCAGGUUUUGCUCGAAGUGUACCUGCUCAUAGAGACAAGGCAGAGAUCAAGUGCAUGGGCCUUGUUGGUGAAAAACACCAACAGAACCAAAAGUGUAUUUGUUCUUCUCUAACCUUAAACAUAGUGAGCAAGACAAAGUUGAUGGAUAAUAAGAUCAUGAGUGUAGCAUUUAAAACAUUUGUCAGAUCAGAUUGCUCCACGUAAUGGAAAGAUAAUCUAUCUAUAUUUAUGUUUUGCUUAUAUCUUCCAAAGAUUGAAUGUGCAACAUUUUAGCUUAUAUGAUUAGGAGUGUGGGAUCACGAAGGUAGUACUAGGAACAAAGAUUAAAGGACUAAACAUGCUGAAUCAGUUGGGUUCGUUAAUUUGGAGUUAUAAAUCAUACAUGUUUGUCUCUUUAUUUAUGUGAACGCCAGAACCAAGGAUAAGUUUAUAAAAGCGAUAGUCAAGUACCUUAAGAUGUUACCUUAAUUGAAGAGUGAUGCUACCAUCUCACCUUGUGGAAGCUUCCCAUUCGUAAUGGGUGUGUAUCUUGUUUAUGUACUUUGUCUCCUUCCACGGAUCAUCUCUCUAUGAUGAAUGAGCUAUGUCUUCGUUGUGUAAAUCGUUAAAUUUCAGGUGUCUCCUUUAUCUUCAAUGUGAGUUUGUAUCUCAGGACUUCCCAGGUUGAUAUUGAAAGUUUUCCUGCAGGGGUUAGUCCGACAAAAUAUACCAAUGCCUACUCAAAUAGUUUUUAGUUCAGUUACCAAACUAGACUCUAUGUCUAAUCAGAUUAAAGAAGGCUAUUUAACCUAAGCACCACGCUUAAUUUAAAUGCCAAUGGGAGUAUGUCCAGUACUUCCAAACCAACACUUACUAGGAUAAACAUAGGUCGCAUGAUGGCUUUUAUAGAGAUCUACUCAAGUGGAGAUGAAGUAGUGUGACUAGUAUUUAACAAAUCAAGCAUGUCUCAAAGGUAGGGACAACCAACAUAGCAACUUGGCAAAGGAUGGUUUCAUGUGAAGUACUCCCCCAAGCUUGAAUUUUGCAAAAUUCAAGAUUGGAUGAAUUAUAAUUCAAUGUUGCAUGAUGAUUGGUUGGGCAUACCUUGCGCUUGUCAUUCCUCAGAUCUUCUUGCUCCAAUCCAAGAAAGAUUAGUGACAAGAAUACCCGAAGGAAUAUUUCUACAAUUAUCUUUAUAUGCUCAAUACACAAGGCAAUGUUGCAAAUAAUUAGAAAUUCAUGUUACGAUCUGAUAAGUGCUUGUUUUAGGACACUAAGCUUGUCCUUGGGAAACCAUCAAUUUAUGUCGGCGAAGUGGUUUCCCCUCAAACGCUGACCUAUAUCAAGAUCAACGAGAUCUGCAAUAUUUAUUAUAGACAUAUACAUCGACAACCGCCCUUUUAAAGUUUUUACAAAAAAGGAAGAGGGGGUUGGAGAUCUCAAAUGUGGUGAUGUUGGAGAGACCAAUAGAUUGGGAAGGUGUUGCAUAUGAACAUGGAGUAAACGAAGUGGCUAUGAAAUAAAUUCCAUGCUCAUUAAUGUUAUCUUCGUCUCCAAACUGAAUGUUUGGAGUUUCUCCUAGAUUGGUCUCGCCUAUGUCCUCUUCUGUAGUAGGAUGAAUCUCAUCUUCAAAGGGAGUCAAGAACUCACCAUUUGAAAUUGAGCCAAAGUCAGAAUCCAUUAAGGCUUGUUCCUUGUCCAUCCACUCAAUGGUGAUAGCACAUGGAUUAUUAAUGCCCUCUAGCCAUUGAUGUUGCUCUUCUCGAUCCUCCUUGUGGUCUUGGUGACUCUUAUGCAUGGGAUGUCUAGAGAGAUUCAUAGGAUCAUCGGGAGGUUCAAGAGAAAGAGCAUGGUAGAAUUUAUUAAGCUCAAGGAUGGGUUGGAUAGCCGAAUCAUGGGAUUGAAAUGUUUGGAAAUUGGCUAUUGAAACUUCCUUUCCUCGUCUGGGAGAUGAUUCCUUCUCUAUCUCUAAGAUUUUUCUAUGAAGACUAGUACAAGAAGGAUGUCGACGAAUGAAGACAUACCUUGCUUUACUAACAGAUAAAGAAAGAAAAACUCUACCAAAGGGUAUAUGAUUAAGACAAAUGUGAAAAUAUCGAGGAAAAACUGGGUCUUGUAGGCUAGGUUUAAACCAAAAUUUAUAGAAAGAUUAACAGAUUCCCUAGGUGUACCUAAAAGUUCAUUAUCUUUUUGAUUAAAAGAUAGGACCUCAGCUAUAGAAAAGGGUUGGUUUUGACCUAUUGCAAUCAACUCCGGACAUAGAUCAUAAUUAGGGGCAAAGAAAGGACUUGUUGACUCCCAUGGUCUAUGGCUGGUCUCCGAAGGUGCAAAAAAUUCAAUAAUAGGUGUGGAAUUUGAGUUAUCCAUAAAGAUGUAAAAAAUAAAAAGAUAAAAAAAGUAUAAAAGUAUAAUACAAGAUAAUAGCAAGAUUAAAAGUUAUCUCAGCAAACCGUCUUUCUCCCUGGUAACGGCGCCAGAAAUGCUUGUUGAUAUUUGGUAACGCCAUCAGGAAAUGAUCCGCAAGCGCACGGAUAUCGGUGAGCACUUCACCCGGGAGGUUAUCCAGAGUAUCGUAUUUAUGUUUUUACCACUCGGAGAAAGCGUGCAUCUGACUAACCAAAUCUAUUGCUACUACCCUUUAGGUUACAAAGAAUAUGAUUCGACGUGAGCGAUGUAUAGAGAAGACUGCAACCGUAGUCUCAUUCUAACCUUGGUAAGGAUGAUCUACUGUUCUAUUGGGGAGGCUUACGGAAUCCAGACACCACAGAGGAUGUUCGACCCGCACCUAUAAACCCUACCGUCCUGCUAACGAGAUGUGGGCUGCAAAGGUAACUCGGAAAUGUCACGUUCCUCGCUACUACCACGGUCCAGCUAGUCAGGGGAUAUCUAUGAGUACCCUAGCCAAACAACACGUUUACGCUAGCAAUGAUUACUCUAAACUCAACCGGAAGAGAUUAAAGUAAACUCAUAAACCAAAGAACAAUAAAACAAGAACUUACUAGAAUUUAGAAGUCGAAUUACUGAAGAAUCCUAGGAGCACGCCUCGGGUUAGGAGAACAUGAUCCCGUAGGUACAACCUCGGAGUAGACACCGACAGGCCGGGCUUCCUCUGAUCUACACCUCCACUCUAUCUCUCUCAAUCUAGUAGAUCUAGUCUACUCUCACAUUGGAUGCUAAGCCCUAAGUCUAUUUAGAGGAAAGGUUAUCCUUCGAGGGCACCUCUCAACUCUAUGAUGAACUCGUUCUCCUCCAGGGACCAGGGGGUCUGCUUAUAUAGUCCCCUCAAGUGAAUCUGGGCCGUCGGAUCAAACCGACAUUGAUUGAAUGGUUAUCCUUGAUCCUUUAGGUCGGUGGAGCGUAAUCCGCGAGAUGGGUCCUGAUUAGACACUGCACCAGGGCGGGCGCCCUGCCCUCGGGCCUGAUCACCUUCCUGUUCGUUCCCAUGGCUUAUGGAGUCUUCUAGAUGAUAGAAAAUUGCGCGGCAUGUUAAUAUCUCUAUGUAAACCCGACGUGUGGGCCUUUCAUCCAUAUUUCCGGAUAACCCCCUGCAGAAAUAGACAAACACCAAAACUCAAGGAAUUCUAUCAGUUAAAACCCUAAGUCUGGGUGUUGGUUGCAUUUGGAUCCUUUUUCUUUAUUUAUUUGAUGAUUAUUUUUUGGUACUUAAGGACCAUCAAUAGCAGCUCAAGACCUUCCUGAAAGAGCAUCUAGGCCCCUAAUGAGUUUCGGUGAUUAAUGAUAAUGUUGAUUACUGUGACUAACAUGUGUUUUGCAGAGGCAAAGUUAUUAGUGUUAGGCCAUGGUAAUAUUUACUCGAUGAACGGGGACGUACAUGCCUAUUUAAUAGUGGAAAUCGUUUUGGUUUUCAUAGGAUGGAUGGACAUCAUCAAGACUAGACUAGGUCUAAGUGCCAUAUGGUGAAGGAGGGCACUUAGAGUAGUUUAGGACUUUGUUUUCCUUUUGACCAUACUAUUAAGAGGGGCUUUGAUCUAGUAGCUUGACUUAAGCAAGGCUCUAGGUUUAGGUGUGGUGCACACUUCGUAAACCUAGCACUAGGCAGCUCAGAGAUAGUCCUUAGAUCGAGAGGAACAAACUUCAUUUUGGAACGGUCGCGUUUCGACGAAGUUUGGGUGCCUAAGUAGGCACCGGACGCUGCACCGGACGCUCUGUGAGUGCGUCCGGUGAGGUCGUUUUGAGUGAGAGUGCCUGAUGUUGAUAUAUGGUAACGCCAUCAGAAAAUGAUCCGUAAGCGCACGGAUAUCGGGAGCACUUCACCCGAGAGAUUAUCCAAAGUACCGUAUUUAUAUUUUUACCACUAGGAGAAAGCGUGCAUCUGAUUAACCAAAUCUAUUGCUACUACUCUUUAGGCUACAAAGAAUGUGACUCGAUGUGAGCGAUGUAUAGAGAAGACUGUAGCGGUAGUCUCGUUCUAACCUUGGUAAGGAUGAUCUACUGUUCUAAUGGGGAAGCUUACGGAAUCUAGACACCACAGAGGAUGUUCGACCCGCACCUAUAAACCCUACCCGUCCUGGUAACGAGAUGUGGGCUGCAAAGGUAACUCGGAAAUGUCACGUUCCUUGCUACUACCACGGUGCAGCUAGUCAGGGGAUAUUUAUGAGUACCCUAGCCCAAACACCACAUUUACGCUAGCAAUGAUUACUCUAAUCUCAACCGGAAGAGAUUAAAGUAAACUCAUAAACCAAAGAACAAUAAAACAAGAACUUACUAGAAUUUAUAAGUCGAAUUAUUGAAGAAUCAUAGGAGCAAGCCUCGGGUUAGGAGAACCUGAUCUCACAGGUACAACCUCGGAGUAGACACCGACAGGCCGGACUUCCUCCGAUCUACACCUCCACUCUUGUAAUACCCGAUUUUAAGGAUAAAAUCAGAUAUGCACCAUAUGUGAUUCUUAAAAGCCAAAUCUCACAUAUAGCUACAAAUGAGGGGUAAAAUCAAAAGACAAUGCAUAAAUAUAACAUACAUAGUAUAAAAGAUAUAACCUUUGAUAGCAAACAGCGGAUAGACAACUCCAAACUUCGGGUAUUAACUUCACUCUACAGGAUCCAACUGACUGGUUGAUCACAAGCCUAAAACAUCUCCUGAAGGGUGGGGAAAUAGCAAGAGUGAGUCCAUAUCGAACUCCACAAGUAUAGCAACUAGAUUGUAUAGCUCCCACAAUCUCAUGAUCAAUGUGACAUAAGUAAUAUAAAGCAUUAAAUAAUAAAUAAUGAACAUAUAUAACACACAAGAAUCAUCAUCGUCGAUGCAAGAAUCCCCAAGGCCGCUCUUGACCGUGAGCACGACUAGUAUACCAGUUUUAACACUCUGCAGAGAUUGUACAUCUUUACCCAUGAGUCAUGAUUUAUCCUUUCGCCCGAGGUAGCUAAUCUCUUAACCCCCUUCCUAGGGAGGUCGGCAGGGAUCACUAUGAAGCCUUUAAAAGGUUUCGUCUAACAAGUUAGGGCCAUUAGAUUCACUCGGCAGGCAGAUAUAGAGCCCCCCUUCCAUGGCACAUAACCCGCAGCCUAUACACACAGACAGAGGCCGCACUAUACCCAACGUGUCUAGCCAUUCUUACGCCAUUUAAGGUAACCGCUAACAAGCUAGAAAAAGGUCCUCAUACCGAGCUAAAGCCAGAGCCAUUAUAGCCCUCAUGGUUGCACUGUUGUCCCGGUUAUCACUUACACAUAAAACAUCAAGUUGCUAAAAAGUUAUUUUUAUCAUUUAUUACUUAACAUUAAUCAAGUCACAAGAUCAUGGUCACAGAAAUAAAAUCCAAAUUCUAUACUUGCCUUGAUCCAAUUGCUCUUGCUGAUCCUGUUGGUCUUACUAGUUGUCCAAGCUCUGAUCUUGAUCACUGAAGCACUCUUGAUCACCACGAAUUACUCACCGACUAAACUCGAUCAUCGAUCAACCACACACAAUCAUCUGGAGACAAACAUACACGAAGCAAACAAAGCUACAAUUAGAACAGUACACCAAUCAUAUAAAAAUAGUAUGAAAAGUUUAUAAAAUGAUUCUACGCAUCGCUACGAUUUCACAGACGUAAUGAUCAUGAAAAUCGGAAUUAAAACGUAGAAGUUAUGAAUUUUCUAAGAUUUCCUAUACAUAAAUAAUUAAUUAAUUAGGGUCAUGAAAAUAAAAAGUUUCAAACUGGUGAAUUAUGUUUACUAAUAUAUAGAGCUCAUUAAUACGAAUCUAACAAAAUUUGAAUGGACAAAAACGGAGUUCAAAUGAUUAAACUGCGCAUGAUUAAAGGUAGACCGAUUAAAGUAAUGGUAGAAGAUUUUGGAAAACUACCAUAACAUGCCUAGUGUUGUUUCCAUCAUGCCUGGUUGCCACUCGAUGUCCAGGAGACUCAUUGGCCAUAGCUUGCAAAGGCCGGAGGACAGCUGCAGGCAGCAUGUGCGGCGCACAGGCAACAACGUUGAAUUAGACGGCAACAAAAGGACAUGGGCUUAGCUUCAGGACUAGACGUGCGGCAAGUGCAGAUGAAAAGGAGGCAUCCUGUUCCUUCGUGACUUGAUGUUUAGCUUGCUGAACGAGAGAUCAGAUACUGAAUAGAAAGAAAAGAAGCAAAACAAAUGAUGAGUACUUAACAAAGAGGGAGUCACGCACCAGAAGAGACGAUUAUGAUGAGCACAGGCGAUGGACUGGAGAGAUAACGAAAAAAAUAUAAUUUACUACCGUGAAAUUCCCAGACUAGAGGUUCCAUUUACGGUAUUUUUGUGUUUCUCCUAAAGGGUUGGUACAUAUAUAUGUGGAGGAAAACUCUCCACAUCUACAUCAAUUAGCAAUAUGCUACUAAUUAAUGUUACCCCUUCCACCUUUACUAAUAGGCCUAAUUAAUUAUUAAAGCCCACUAGUAAAUAAAUACAUUGGCCUUUGAGAUCAUGGGUUCAGCGUUGGGUAGAAUGAAAGAUUUAUUAUUUUCAAAAUUAAUUAUUUUUGUGAAUAAGAUAUUUCUAGAAAAGUCUAGAAUUAUUAUUUAAUUCAUGAAAAAUAUUUCAAAAGCUUUGAAAAUUCGGGAAAAAUUCUCGGAUAUAUUAUGAAACAUGAGGAACCCAAAUAAAGUAUUUGGAGCUCAUGAUAAGAUAAUUUGGAGCAUCUAAAAAUUAGAUUCUGCUCACAGUUAAGUGGGAACAAGUUCCACAAAAAGUGUUAAAAUAAUUCUUGGUCAGUUUUUAGAGAUUGAUUGAUGGUUGAGGAACUAAAAGGAAUGAUUUGGGUUACAAAGAAAAGAUUUUGUGAAACUCGAAGCAAAAGCAUAGGCUAGAAAACAAGGAAUUUGAUUGUAGAAAAAAAUAUAAAUCCGUGCCGAAGAAGGGAGAUCGACCUACUAACAUAUUUUAAACACUCCACUCACUGACAACACACAAAGGAGCAAGAAGCAAACAUUACAUCAAAUCUUAUGCACCAGCAUGUAUGCACAACAAUAUUGCUAUGCUUUAUGAUAAAUUUUAAUUUACUAAAAAAUGUUAUUUUUCCUAUAUUUUCAUGAGCUCAAAAAUACCAAAUGAAAUUAUUUUAGCUCUAUUUUGAAAGGACCAAAUUUUGGGGUGUUACAAUUCUACCCCCCUUAAGAUGAAUCUCGUCCUCGAGAUUCAGAUCAUGGUGAUCAAAGAGAUAUGGAUACUCCAACUUUAUAUCUUCUUAACUUCCUUAGCCAUGUCCAGGAGUUUGACAGUACCUAUAUGCAGGGUUCUCCUUUAUUCUUAACUCCUCCAAAGCCAUCUCUCUUCUAGAGGCCCACAAACAUUCCUUCAACAAUGACAUGUUAGACGCAUCAGGUAUUCCUAAUCAACACUUGGUAUCUUUUGACUGUUAAGCUACUUUUCAUUUUUAGCAACCCCAACUGAGUUCUUGCAGCAAGGUGUUAGCUUAUUCUUCACUUCAACACUGCUUAUGCUUCUCAUAUCCUUUUUAGACGCUACACAUCAUAUAGUCUUUUAAAUUCGCUUGUACCAAGUCUAUUAAUCCAAAGUUAGUUUCAUCACUAAGUUCCAUCUGUUGGUACCUUUAUCACAAUUAAGUUGCUUCACUCUCACAUUGUACAUAUAUCUUUGUAGACUUUGGUGUCAUCUGAUUCUCAUACACAACUCUUAAUCCAUGAGUAUCAGUAAUGACAUAAACCUCCAUUGGUAUUAGCACACUCCAGAUGGAAUGAUAUCUUGAAACAAACCAACAUACCAAGCACUUAAUGUCCUUGUAGAUGUUAUAGUCAUUAACCACUUCUUCUCCUUGUAGUUCUUUAAUUGGGCUACCCCCUUAAGAGAGGUCAACUAGGGGACCAAGAACGGUAUCUUUCAUGUUUUCCAGACAAGUUAACUAACAUUGAGAACUCCUGACAUUCCAAAGAACUUAUGUGCAAUGGAGCAAACAAGUAUCCUGAAAUUUCCUCGCGAUAUGAAAUCACCAGCGUAGUAAAAUGGACAUAACUCUUAUUCCGUGAAUCCUAGAGUUGUAGCUUAUACCGUUAGAAAACAUAUGAAAUUACCUACAACUUUCUUGUAGAAUUCCUCCUUAGGUUCUGUCUUUAAGCUUAGGUAAAUCAACCAAACUUAAUAUCCAUCCAGACAAUGUCUCAGCAAGGGUGCAGUAUCUACCAAAAGUUAUAUCUCGAGCUACAGAACUCAUAUGAUGAUGGUCCUUAUAUUGUUGAAAAUUUUAUAAAAUCCUCUACAACAUUCGUAUACAACCUUUUCCCAGAUUCUGACUUUAACUUGGCUGAAAAUAGGAAAUGCCAGAUCUGUCUAGAUCUUGAAACUGAACAGAAACAUCCAAGUGUAAAUAUCAUAUCUCAGGUUCUUCUUGUCCAAAUGUGUUCCAGCUUAUACUGUUGGAAAGCUUAGAAAAGUGUAUACAACCUUUCUAUAGACCACUUUUCCAAAUUCUAUACCUAUAUUUGUCUAAAACAGUAGGCAACCAAAACUGGUCCAGAUUCUUGACAGCACAUCUGUACCAUAAUGUGAUUUUUGGAACUUCCAAACCAUAAUAGCUGUGAGGGUGAUUCUUGUGGUCAGAGAAAGAUCUUGAAGUCUAGUUGUUCCCAGAAAAUUUUGAUAAACUUUGCACAAUCAGAACUUGUGAUACACCAGCAUCAUUGCGGACUGCUCUAGAAAUCAGCAAGGGAUAGAAACAAGAGAUAGCCAAACCCAACUACUUAUUUCAUUAAUCCUUAUGCCUUAGGCCUAUGAACUAAUGAAAUUGUGAGGAAAUCCCACAAGAUCAUUGCACUCAUUACAAAGAUCCAAAUCAAGCAUAAACAUAAUAACAAACCAAUUAAGCAUUAAAGGUUCACACUUCACUCAACUUGCGAUAUUAUCGUUCUCUUCAUAGAAAGGCAAAGAUCCUAAAACUUAUAUUUCAAAGACGCAAGAAGGUGGUAAGAAAAGGUUCUAAUAGCAUACCAAAUCAAGGAGUGAAGGUGAGAACAAGUACUUUUAAAAUAAGCAACAAGGUAGAGACAAAUAGCAGGGAUAGGGACAUAGCAUGGAUGAAAAUACCAAGGUUUAUAGAGCAAGGAUUUUAUGACAAUUUCAAAACCUUAAGACGACCAAUUUCUAACUAGGCUUGCGUCCUACAGUCAGUAUUGCUUUGAUACCACUUUGUAAUACCCGAUUUUAAGGACAAAAUCAGAUAUGCACCGUCUUAAAAGCCAAAUCUCACAUAUAGCUACAAAUGAGGGGUAAUAUAAAAAGACAAUGCAUAAAUAUAACGUACAUAGUAUAAAAGAUAUAACCUUUGAUAGCAAAUAGCGGAUAGACAACUCCAAACUUUGGGUAUUAACUUCACUCUACAGGAUCCAACUGACUGGUUGAUCACAAGCCUAAAACAUCUCCUGAAGGGUGGGGGAAAUAGCAAGAGUGAGUCCAUGUCGAACUCCACAAGUAUAGCAACUAGAUUGUAUAGCUCCCACAAUCUCAUGAUCAAUGUGACAUAAGUAAUGUAAAGUAUUAAAUAAUAAAUAAUGAACAUAUAUAACACACAAGAAUCAUCAUCGUCGAUGCAAGAUCCCCAAGGCCGCUCUUGACCGUGAGCACGGCUAGUAUACCAGUUUUAACACUCUGCAGAGGUUGUACAUCUUUACCCAUGAGUCAUAAUUUACCCUUUCGCCCGAGGUAGCUAAUCUCUUAACCCCCUUCCUAGGGAGGUCGGCAGGGAUCACUAUGAAGCCUUUCAAAGGUUUCGUCUAACAAGUUAGGGCCAUUAGAUUCACUCGGCAGGCAGAUAUAGAGCCCCCUUCCAUGGCACAUAACCCACAGCCUAUACACAUGGACAGAGGCCGCACUAUACCCAACGUGUCUAGCCAUUAUUACGCCAUUUAAGGUAACCGCUAACAAGCUAGAAAAAAGUCCUCAUACCGAGCUAAACCCAGAGCCAUUAUAGCCCUCAUGGUUGCACUGUUGUCCUGGUUAUCACUUACAGAUAAAACAUUAAGUUGCUAAAAAGUCAUUUUUAUCAUUUAUUACUUAACAUUAAUGAAGUCACAAGAUCAUGGUCAUAGAAAUAAAAUCCAAAUGCUAUACUUGACUUGAUCCAAUUGCUCUUACUGAUCCUGCUGGUCUUACUAGUUGUCCAUGCUCUGAUCUUGAUCACUGAAGCACUCUUGAUCACCACGAAUUACUCACCGACUAAACUCGAUCAUCGAUCAACCACACACAAUCAUCCGGAGACAAACAUACACGAAGCAAACAAAGCAACAAUUAGAACAGUACACCAAUCAUAUAAAAACAGUACGAAAAGUUUAUAAAAUGAUUCUACGCAUCGCUACGAUUUCACAGAUGUAAAGAUCACGAAAAUCGGAAUUAAAACGUAGAAGUUAUGAAUUUUCUAAGAUUUCUUAUAGAUAAAUAAUUAGUUAAUUAGGGUCACGAAAAUAAAAAGUUUCAAACUGGUGAAUUAAGUUUACUAACAUGUAGAGCUCAUUAAUACGAAUCUAACGAAAUUUGAAUGGACAAAAACAGAGUUCAAAUGAUUAAACUGUGGAUGAUUAAAUGUAGACCGAUUAAAGUAAUGGUAGAAGAUUUUGGAAAACUACCAUAACAUGCCUAGUGUUGUUUCCAUCAUGCCUAGUUGCCACUCGAUGUCCAGGAGACUCAUUGGCCAUUGGCCAUAGCUUGCAAAGGCCGGAGGACAGCUGCAGGCAGCACGUGCGGCGCACAGGCAACAACGAUGAAAUAGACGGCAACAAAAGGAGAUGGGCUUAGCUUCAGGACUAGACGUGCGGCAAGUGCAGAUGAAAAGGAGGCAUCCUGUUCCUUCGUGACUUGAUGUUUAGCUUGCUGAACGAGAGAUCAGAUACUGAAUAGAAACAAAAUAAGAAGCAAAACAAAUGAUGAGUACUGAACAAAGAGGGAGUCACGCAGCAGAAGAGACGAUGAUGAUGAGCACAGGCGAUGGACUGGAGAGAUGACGAAAAAAAUAUAAAUUACUACCGUGGAAUUUCCAGACUAGAGGCUCUAUUUACGGUAUUUUUCUGGUACAUAUAUAUAUGGAGGAAAAUUCUCCACGUCUACAUCAAUUAGCAAUAUGGUACUAAUUGAUGUUGCCCCUUCCACCUUUACUAAUAUGACUAAUUCAUUAUUAAAGCCCACUAGUAAAUAAACACAUUGGCCUUUGAGAUCAUGGGUUCAGCGUGGUGUAGAAUGAAAGAUUUAUUAUUUUCAAAAUUAAUUAUUUUUGUGAAUAAGAUAUUUCUAGAAAAGUCUAGAAUGAUUAUUUAAUUCAUGAAAAAUAUUUCAAAAGCUCUGAAAAUUCGGGAAAAAUUCUCGGAUAUAUUAUGAAACAUGAGGAAUCCAAAUAAAGUAUUUGGAGCUCAUGAUAAGAUAAUUUGGAGUAUCUAAAAAUUAGAUUAUGCUCACAGUCAAGUGGGAACAAGUUCCACAAAAAGUGUUAAAAUAAUUCUUGGUCAGUUUUUAGAGAUUGAUUGAUGGUUGAGGAACUGAAAUGAAUGAUUUGGGUUACAAAGAAAAGAUUUUGUGAAACUCGAAACAAAAGCAUAGGCUAGAAAACAAGGAAUUUGACUGUAGAAAUAAAGAUAAAUCCGUGCCGAAGAAUGGAGAUCGACCUACUAACGUAUUUUAAACACUCCACUCACUGUCAACAAACAAAGGAGCAAUAAGCAAACAUUACAUCAAAUCUAAUGCACUAGCAUGUAUGCACAACAAUAUUGCUAUGCUUUAUGAUAAAUUUUAAUUUACUAAAAAAAUUGAUUUUUCCUAUAUUUUCAUGAGCUCAAAAAUACCAAAUUAAAUUAUUUUAGUUCUAUUUUGAAAGGACCAAAUUUUAGGUUGUUACAACUCUAUCUCUCUCAAUCUAGUAGAAUUUAGAAGAACUAAUUCUACUCUCACAUUGGAUGCUAAGCCCUAAGUCUGUUUAGAGGAGAGGUUAUCGUUCGAGGGCUCCUCUCAACUCUAUGAUGAACUUGUUAUCCUUGAUCAAACCGACAUGGGGGGCCAGGGGGUCUGCUUAUAUAGUCCCCUCAAGUGAAUCUUGGUCGUCGGAUCAAACCGACAUUGAUUGAACGGUUAUCCUUCAUCCUUUAGGUCGGUGGAGCGUAAUCCCCAAAUAGAGUCCUGAUUGGACUCUAGGACAGGGCGGGCGCCCUAGGGGGGAGGGCGGGCGCCCUACCCUCGGGCCCGUUCGCUUUCCCGUUCGUUCCUGUGGCUUCUGGAGUCUUCUAGAUGACAGAAAAUUGCGAGGCACGUUAAUAUCUCCAUGUAAACCCGACGUGUGGGCCUUUCUUCCGUAUUUCCUGAUAACCCCCUACAGAAAUAGACAAACACCAAAACUCGUGUAAUUCUGUCAGAUGAAACCCUAAGUCUGGGUGUUGGUUGCAUUUGGACCCUUUUCUUUAUUUAUUUGAUGAUUAUAUUUGGUACUUAAGGACCAUCAACAACUCCCCCAUGCUUACCUCUUGCUCGUCCUUGAGCAAGGAUGAACUCAAGAGUUUUUGCAGUGGUUUCAUGUCUUAAAAGUAAGAUCUCAUCUUUGAGUUAGAGUAAACUGUUAAGACUUAAACCUCACUCAUUUCACCUUUCACCAUGGGGCUUGGAACGGUUACUUGUGUCUUGAGCAGUUAAAAGAUAGAACGGUCAAGUCAAGCGCCAUGUCUCUUAUUCUUGAUCAGCUAUAGCUCUGGAGUUUUUGCGGAUUUUCAAAUAAAACUCAGAGAUUCCUUGUAUGACUCUCUCAGAUCUCUUUUUUGUGGUAUUUCUGGAUCCUUUCCAAGGCGGUAAUGGUAUAUGCAUGCUCUCAAAGUAUGUGGCAUUUUUGGUAUGAGGUAUAGUGAUAUUGCCUUCUCUCUAACCCUACUCUAAUAAGGUUUUGGUAUCUAGAGCUCAUAGGUGGGAGACAGCUAAUACAUACUUACAAGAUAUUUAUUGCAUAGUCAAACCAUGGAUCCAGAAGAACAAGUCAAUAAGUCAAAUCAAUAUGUGCAUGUGUGGCGAGUGAAUGGUGUAUGGUGAUGAUGGUGAUAACAAUGGUGAAAGCCUAAUUCUAUUUUUGCUGUUUUGUGGGGAUACAUACCUUUCUUGCACUUUGAAGCUUUUUGGGGAGAAUGAGAUGCUCUAUAUUUUCUUUUUCUUUCCUCUCAGGUGGGUAUCUUGUACUCCUAAUUCUACUGUCGGACACUUGUCCAUUUUGACCUCCUCGUCUCACUUUUUCUUUUCUUCGAGGUUUCGGGCACAUGCCACUUUUUAUUUCCUCGUAUUUUUCCUUUUUCUAUUUUUUUUUCUUCUUCUCUUUUUUUAGAGGACUCAUCUCCUGAAAUAAUAUAGCAAGUGGUAGUAACCAAGAUAACUCGAGUAUUUAUUCCACAAGGAAUAACAGGGAUAGGAUAAUGUUUUUGGCUAUUUUCUCCCGGAUUAGGAUUAGAAUACUUUUGGGUGAAUCUGGAGAUGGGAAUGAGUGGAUGUAUGUGGAUGCGUACUUCCAGAGUAGAAGCAGCAUGUAUGAGUGAACGUGCAAGUGAAUCUUGAUUUUAACCGCAUGACAAGCUCCUAAGGGUCUACACAGCUUGACCACACUCAAUGCUCAUAAGCAGUAAAAAGUAAAUGUGUGGCUCAAAGUCUAGCAAGCAUGUAUAUAUGGCUGUGGUAGGAAUUUAAACUCUCAUCAUACAGGAUGUUAUUUUAAAGAUUUUCAAAGAUAAAAUUCUCUAAAAUUCUAGCAUCUGUAGGAACAGAUAAACAGGAGCUCAACCUUCCCAUAUCAUAUCCGUUAACGACUUAGGCUUCACAUCAUGUAUUCUUCCCACAACUUCAGGUUUAGAGCAGGUUUAAAUUAUAACAGUUAUGCCUAAACUUGAGAGAGAGCUCAAACUUAAAAACUAGGUACAUGGCAGAGCAACUAUUAAUCAUUUCCAUGUGAGAGUUUAUCAUUUAAGUUCAGUUUGGCCUAAACACUUUAUUUAUUUAUUUAGCAAACUAAGCAAAGAUAUAUAUAAGCACAAAAAUUUUUAUUUGGGUUUUCAUGAUUAUGCAUCUUUUUAUUAUUUGAGUAAAGUAUAAACGCGAGUAGAAACACUUAGCUAGAUAAAUGGGGGUGCUCUCCCCCAAGCUGGAUUUUGACGUAAUUUCUUCUAAUGUAGCUAGCAGGUGGUGGAGGUGUAUUUGAAAGUUGGCAACACCCUAACAGCAAUUAGGAUGUCUUCCGUCUGCUAGUCUUCUUUCAUCCUUGAUUUCUAUGGAGCUCAAAUAGACAACAAAGCUUUGUGGAACUAGUUAAGUGUUAGCAUAAAUAUCUAGCCUUUAUCAUGAUGAGCCUCCUCAAUAAAUGUUACUCUCUUUAGUAGGAUCAUAAAUUUAUUUUUAUAUUCUUAUUUUUAUAGGACAGGAAUAUAUUUAUUUUAUUUUUACGCCACCAUAGUGAAUGUACUUAUGGGUUUUAUGCCAUGAGCAUACUUCACAUAGGGCUUACUAUUUUUAACAUUUCUAUUUUCUUUUCAAGAUAGUAUGAACCUGAUUAACUAAGCAAACUAUAAUUGAAUAAUUGAAAGGAAAAGGAUAACUACCAAGUUUACCUCUUGGCAAGGCGUUCAGUGUUUUUAAGUCCUCCGAACGGGACUCUCCGUUUUCUCAGUCGUCCUGGGAUUCGCUGGAUGGCGAAGUCGGUGGUUCCAGCGGCUAUAACUAUCUUCUCUUUCCACAUCUGACUCGGUGCUAUGGUCUCCUCAGGACGGUUCUGUUCAAGCUGUAUGUCUUCAGACCUUACCACUUCUCCUUCGUAGUAUACCCAUCCGUCCUUGAUAAUUUCCCUCCUCUAGUUUUGGUUGCGUCGUCUUCUUCUUACCCUGACCUGCUUAGAGUCUUCAACUAUAUAGUUAGGGUCAGUAAAAUAGCGGCAUACCUUCUUAGAGGGGAAGUGCAUGUGGACUUCUCUGGUUCCAAUGUAGAUGAUUGCUUUAACGGUGCUGAGGAACGGUCUUCCAAGGAUGAUGGGUGGAUUGUACUCGUCUUCUCCCAUGUCAACGACCUGAAAAUCAUCUGGAGCUGAAUGUAUGUUGGUUGUAGGGGCAUGGUUCCAUGCAGGAGCUGAUAAGUGACUAUGGCCAUUAUGUUGUCGUCAGAUCCGGUGUCAUAGAGUGUCUUCUGAAAAGAGUAUCCAUUGAUUGUGCACUCGAUGCUUGGAACACCAGGGUCGUCCUUCUUGAUCAGGAAAGGCGACUUGAGUCGAUGAUCUUGACCUCCUCCGCCAAGGAUCCAAUGUUUUAAGUCUUCUGGACAAGACUUCUUACCGUCUUCAUCCUUUAGGUGCAUAAUUUGAUUAGGUGUGGACCUUGACGUCUGCACCUCUUGAUACGG
rnacentral:lncRNA from 1 species